rnacentral:rRNA from 1 species
AACGAACGCUGGCGGCAUGCCUAACACAUGCAAGUCGAACGAGACCUUCGGGUCCUGUGGCGCACGGGUGCGUAACGCGUGGGAACCUGCCCUUAGGUUUGGCAUAACUAUCCGACAGGGGUGCUAAUACCGGAUCAUGUCUUCGGACCAACGAUAUAUCGCAUCUGGGUGGGCCCACGUUGGAUUAGCUAGUUGGUAGGGUAAUAGACUACCAAGGCGCCGAUUCAUUACUGGUUCUAGAGGAUGGUCAGCCACACUGGGACUGGGACACGGCCCAAAUUCUUACGGAUGGGAGCAGGGGUGAAGGAGGGACGAUGGGCGAGAGCCUGAGGCAUCCGGGCCGUGAGAGUGAGGAAUGACGGAGGAAUAUAAGGCUCUGUAACCCGGGAUGUUAAGAACGGAACCGAGAAGAUAAGCUCCGGCUAACUCCGU